rnacentral:rRNA from 1 species
AAUGAACGUUGGCGGCGUGGAUUAGGCAUGCAAGUCGAGCGAGAAAUCUCCCUUCGGGGAGAUGGACAGCGGCAAACGGGGUAGUAAGGCGUAGGUAACGUACCCUAAGGACCGGGAUAGCCGAGGGAAACUUCGGGUAAACCGGAUGAUCUCCUUCCUCGUGAUCGAGGAUUGAGCAAAUGGUGUGAUUCCGCCUUUGGAGCGGCUUACGUGGUAUUAGGUAGUUGGUGAGGUAACGGCCCACCAAGCCUGAGAUGCCUAGGGGGUGUGGGAGCAUGGCCCCCACCACUGGGACUGAGACACUGCCCAGACACCUACGGGUGGCUGCAGUCGAGAAUCUUCGGCAAUGGGCGCAAGCCUGACCGAGCGACGCCGCGUGCGGGAUGAAGGCCCUUGGGUUGUAAACCGCUGUCAGAGGGGAUGAAAUGCGCAAGGGCAAUCUCUUGCGUUUGACAAAGCCUCAGAGGAAGCACGGGCUAAGUACGUGCCAGCCGCCGCGGUAAUAC